AUUGAACGCUGGCGGCGGGCCUAACACAUGCAAGUCGAGCGGUAGCACAGAGAGCUUGCUCUCGGGUGACGAGCGGCGGACGGGUGAGUAAUGUCUGGGAAACUGCCUGAUGGAGGGGGAUAACUACUGGAAACGGUAGCUAAUACCGCAUAACGUCGCAAGACCAAAGUGGGGGACCUUCGGGCCUCAUGCCAUCAGAUGUGCCCAGAUGGGAUUAGCUAGUAGGUGGGGUAACGGCUCACCUAGGCGACGAUCCCUAGCUGGUCUGAGAGGAUGACCAGCCACACUGGAACUGAGACACGGUCCAGACUCCUACGGGAGGCAGCAGUGGGGAAUAUUGCACAAUGGGCGCAAGCCUGAUGCAGCCAUGCCGCGUGUGUGAAGAAGGCCUUCGGGUUGUAAAGCACUUUCAGCGGGGAGGAAGGCGGUGAGGUUAAUAACCUCAUCGAUUGACGUUACCCGCAGAAGAAGCACCGGCUAACUCCGUGCCAGCAGCCGCGGUAAUACGGAGGGUGCAAGCGUUAAUCGGAAUUACUGGGCGUAAAGCGCACGCAGGCGGUCUGUCAAGUCGGAUGUGAAAUCCCCGGGCUCAACCUGGGAACUGCAUUCGAAACUGGCAGGCUAGAGUCUUGUAGAGGGGGGUAGAAUUCCAGGUGUAGCGGUGAAAUGCGUAGAGAUCUGGAGGAAUACCGGUGGCGAAGGCGGCCCCCUGGACAAAGACUGACGCUCAGGUGCGAAGGCGUGGGGAGCAAACAGGAUUAGAUACCCUGGUAGUCCACGCCGUAAACGAUGUCGAUUUGGAGGUUGUGCCCUUGAGGCGUGGCUUCCGGAGCUAACGCGUUAAAUCGACCGCCUGGGGAGUACGGCCGCAAGGUUAAAACUCAAAUGAAUUGACGGGGGCCCGCACAAGCGGUGGAGCAUGUGGUUUAAUUCGAUGCAACGCGAAGAACCUUACCUGGUCUUGACAUCCACAGAACUUUCCAGAGAUGGAUUGGUGCCUUCGGGAACUGUGAGACAGGUGCUGCAUGGCUGUCGUCAGCUCGUGUUGUGAAAUGUUGGGUUAAGUCCCGCAACGAGCGCAACCCUUAUCCUUUGUUGCCAGCGGUCCGGCCGGGAACUCAAAGGAGACUGCCAGUGAUAAACUGGAGGAAGGUGGGGAUGACGUCAAGUCAUCAUGGCCCUUACGACCAGGGCUACACACGUGCUACAAUGGCAUAUACAAAGAGAAGCGACCUCGCGAGAGCAAGCGGACCUCAUAAAGUAUGUCGUAGUCCGGAUUGGAGUCUGCAACUCGACUCCAUGAAGUCGGAAUCGCUAGUAAUCGUAGAUCAGAAUGCUACGGUGAAUACGUUCCCGGGCCU
rnacentral:rRNA from 1 species